AUGGCCUCUUUGUAGGUAUCGCAUGUAAGCUAAACCAUGUUCACACACUUGAUUGAGUGUUGUUCGAUUCGGAGUUGGUGAUUAAUGACUUCUACAUGGACGUGUUAAGCAGUUCGCAUUGACAAGUAUUUUUGCUACGAUACCCAUAGGUGGAGUGAGGUAUCUUUGAAUGAGAAGCGCACUGCGUGCCUCUUCCAACAAAGCUUAUUUUAAGCAAAAUGAGGGCAAAAGAAGGAAAAUCAAGUGAUGAAGUUGAACAUUUCGCAGUACCUUCAAGAGCAACUGUAAGGUGGAGAGAAACUGUUUCUGCAGUGGAACUGAAGGAAUCGGAGAGUUACCCAGCUGCUUCGAAAACUUAAAACAGAAGGAUAGACGUUGAGGAUGGCCUUGAGAGACAAGAGAAGGUUGUGGUAAGCAAUCUUUCUGUCAAAAUGUAGAUACUGACUGCCUUAAGCUUUGGAGUGUGACUGUAUUUGAGAAUUUUUUUCCCCGUAUAUGUUUCCAAAUACUGCUCAAGACACCAUCAAUUCAUAUUGGUAAAAUUAGCUCCUUUCU